rfam:Gordonia terrae NBRC 100016 DNA, contig: GOTRE129.
CGUUCUGACACGGGGUGCUCCGCGACUGCGGGGCUGAGAUGAGACCCGAGAACCUGUCCAGGUAAUGCUGACGAAGGGAUGUCAUGUCUUUGCAUG